rnacentral:rRNA from 1 species
GGGUUGUGAGGUUAAGCGACUAAGCGUACACGGUGGAUGCCCUGGCAGUCAGAGGCGAUGAAGGACGUGCUAAUCUGCGAUAAGCGUCGGUGAGGUGAUAUGAACCGUUAUAACCGGCGAUUUCCGAAUGGGGAAACCCAGUGUGUUUCGACACACUAUCAUUAACUGAAUCCAUAGGUUAAUGAGGCGAACCGGGGGAACUGAAACAUCUAAGUACCCCGAGGAAAAGAAAUCAACCGAGAUUCCCCCAGUAGCGGCGAGCGAACGGGGAGGAGCCCAGAGCCUGAAUCAGUGUGUGUGUUAGUGGAAGCGUCUGGAAAGGCGCGCGAUACAGGGUGACAGCCCCGUACACAAAAAUGCACAUGCUGUGAGCUCGAUGAGUAGGGCGGGACACGUGGUAUCCUGUCUGAAUAUGGGGGGACCAUCCUCCAAGGCUAAAUACUCCUGACUGACCGAUAGUGAACCAGUACCGUGAGGGAAAGGCGAAAAGAACCCCGGCGAGGGGAGUGAAAAAGAACCUGAAACCGUGUACGUACAAGCAGUGGGAGCCUCUUUAUGGGGUGACUGCGUACCUUUUGUAUAAUGGGUCAGCGACUUAUAUUCUGUAGCAAGGUUAACCGAAUAGGGGAGCCGAAGGGAAACCGAGUCUUAACUGGGCGUUAAGUUGCAGGGUAUAGACCCGAAACCCGGUGAUCUAGCCAUGGGCAGGUUGAAGGUUGGGUAACACUAACUGGAGGACCGAACCGACUAAUGUUGAAAAAUUAGCGGAUGACUUGUGGCUGGGGGUGAAAGGCCAAUCAAACCGGGAGAUAGCUGGUUCUCCCCGAAAGCUAUUUAGGUAGCGCCUCGUGAAUUCAUCUCCGGGGGUAGAGCACUGUUUCGGCAAGGGGGUCAUCCCGACUUACCAACCCGAUGCAAACUGCGAAUACCGGAGAAUGUUAUCACGGGAGACACACGGCGGGUGCUAACGUCCGUCGUGAAGAGGGAAACAACCCAGACCGCCAGCUAAGGUCCCAAAGUCAUGGUUAAGUGGGAAACGAUGUGGGAAGGCCCAGACAGCCAGGAUGUUGGCUUAGAAGCAGCCAUCAUUUAAAGAAAGCGUAAUAGCUCACUGGUCGAGUCGGCCUGCGCGGAAGAUGUAACGGGGCUAAACCAUGCACCGAAGCUGCGGCAGCGACACUAUGUGUUGUUGGGUAGGGGAGCGUUCUGUAAGCCUGUGAAGGUGUACUGUGAGGUAUGCUGGAGGUAUCAGAAGUGCGAAUGCUGACAUAAGUAACGAUAAAGCGGGUGAAAAGCCCGCUCGCCGGAAGACCAAGGGUUCCUGUCCAACGUUAAUCGGGGCAGGGUGAGUCGACCCCUAAGGCGAGGCCGAAAGGCGUAGUCGAUGGGAAACAGGUUAAUAUUCCUGUACUUGGUGUUACUGCGAAGGGGGGACGGAGAAGGCUAUGUUGGCCGGGCGACGGUUGUCCCGGUUUAAGCGUGUAGGCUGGUUUUCCAGGCAAAUCCGGAAAAUCAAGGCUGAGGCGUGAUGACGAGGCACUACGGUGCUGAAGCAACAAAUGCCCUGCUUCCAGGAAAAGCCUCUAAGCAUCAGGUAACAUCAAAUCGUACCCCAAACCGACACAGGUGGUCAGGUAGAGAAUACCAAGGCGCUUGAGAGAACUCGGGUGAAGGAACUAGGCAAAAUGGUGCCGUAACUUCGGGAGAAGGCACGCUGAUAUGUAGGUGAAGCGACUUGCUCGUGGAGCUGAAAUCAGUCGAAGAUACCAGCUGGCUGCAACUGUUUAUUAAAAACACAGCACUGUGCAAACACGAAAGUGGACGUAUACGGUGUGACGCCUGCCCGGUGCCGGAAGGUUAAUUGAUGGGGUUAGCGGUAACGCGAAGCUCUUGAUCGAAGCCCCGGUAAACGGCGGCCGUAACUAUAACGGUCCUAAGGUAGCGAAAUUCCUUGUCGGGUAAGUUCCGACCUGCACGAAUGGCGUAAUGAUGGCCAGGCUGUCUCCACCCGAGACUCAGUGAAAUUGAACUCGCUGUGAAGAUGCAGUGUACCCGCGGCAAGACGGAAAGACCCCGUGAACCUUUACUAUAGCUUGACACUGAACAUUGAGCCUUGAUGUGUAGGAUAGGUGGGAGGCUUUGAAGUGUGGACGCCAGUCUGCAUGGAGCCGGCCUUGAAAUACCACCCUUUAAUGUUUGAUGUUCUAACGUUGGCCCCUGAUCGGGGUUGCGGACAGUGUCUGGUGGGUAGUUUGACUGGGGCGGUCUCCUCCUAAAGAGUAACGGAGGAGCACGAAGGUUGGCUAAUCCUGGUCGGACAUCAGGAGGUUAGUGCAAUGGCAUAAGCCAGCUUGACUGCGAGCGUGACGGCGCGAGCAGGUGCGAAAGCAGGUCAUAGUGAUCCGGUGGUUCUGAAUGGAAGGGCCAUCGCUCAACGGAUAAAAGGUACUCCGGGGAUAACAGGCUGAUACCGCCCAAGAGUUCAUAUCGACGGCGGUGUUUGGCACCUCGAUGUCGGCUCAUCACAUCCUGGGGCUGAAGUAGGUCCCAAGGGUAUGGCUGUUCGCCAUUUAAAGUGGUACGCGAGCUGGGUUUAGAACGUCGUGAGACAGUUCGGUCCCUAUCUGCCGUGGGCGCUGGAGAACUGAGGGGGGCUGCUCCUAGUACGAGAGGACCGGAGUGGACGCAUCACUGGUGUUCGGGUUGUCAUGCCAAUGGCACUGCCCGGUAGCUAAAUGCGGAAGAGA